rnacentral:rRNA from 1 species
UACGUAGGGUGCAGGCGUUAAUCGGAAUUACUGGGCGUAAAGCGCGCGCAGGCGGUCUUUUAAGUCAGAUGUGAAACCCCCAGGCUCAACCUGGGGACGCCACUCGAUACUGCUGUGACUAGAGUCCGGUAGGGGAGCGUGGAAUUCCUGGUGUAGCGGUGAAAUGCGCAGAUAUCAGGAGGAACACCAGCGGCGAAGGCGGCGCUCUGGGCCGGUACUGACACUGAGGAGCGAAAGCGUGGGUAGCAAACAGG